rnacentral:ncRNA from 1 species
UCGGGUCUGUGGUUGUAAGUCGAUGCCAGCCGCGGGCAAAGCGAUCCACGUAAGCGGGGGCAAAAGCCGCCGUGAGCAUGGCGCGGUCUAGAGGUAAGUCCGUCCGGCAAGCGCCGAGAGGGGCGGCGUGAGGGGAAUGCACCCCAGGCAAUGCCCCCAGACGGCGAGUGUGGGGUCAAAGACCAGGUCAGCCGGU